GGCUUCUGAUGAUGGUGCUCAGUUUGCUGACGUCGAUACCGUAGGCCAAAGCGGCUUCACGCAUGUGUUGGUAGGUAGGGUUGGCCCUGACCUUUUCGAUGGCCGCCUGGAACUCGUCGGAGGCGAUGUGGGCGAUGAGGUUGGCGAAGUCGGGGGAGGUCUCGAGCUUCUCGUAGUAGAGGGCCUUGAGUUCUUCCAGGGGCAGGAUGGCGAGGAUCUCGUCGACGAGUCCGCGGAAUCCACCGGCGCGUACGACGUUUCUCAAAAGCGUGCGUGGCUGGAAAGCUGGGAGAUCGAGGAGUC
rnacentral:misc_RNA from 1 species